rnacentral:lncRNA from 1 species
AAAAUACUGCUCAUAGACCCCAUGGGGAAUGAAGGUGUUUAUGACAAGAAAAUUCUGCGCAACUGGAGGAAUUUUCUGAGGAUGAGAGGGCAUGAAGACACCAUGGAGUGGCAGUUACAGAUUAUGCAACACAACAAGCAACAGGAUUCCAGCAGUUGCGGAGUUUUGCUGUUAAAGUUUGCAGAACAGUACCUUGCUUUUGGAGAGGUCAGUGAGGUGUUAACCACUACAGAAGCAGUUGUGCUGGAGCAAAUGCAGAUAGCUUGCACCCUACUUGAACAUCGAGGGAACACUGAGGACUACUGCAUUGUUUGCUCUAUGUUAGAUGCUGACGCUGACCGCAGCAUGAUUGAAAUGGUAAAACAAAACAAAAGAAACACAUAAGUCUUAGUAUCAUUACUUGCUAAUCAUGUUUAAAAUGUUGACUAAUAGUAUUCACCAAACAUAAUAUGAGCUAUUUAUUUUUCCUUUCCAGGUGCAGUGUGAAUCUUGCCAAAGAUGGGCAUAUUUUGCAUGUGCAAAAUAUAAAGAGAGCAACCAAGAAUAUAAAUGCAAAAAAUGUAAGGAAAACACAUAACAAUUUCAAAUAAAAACAGCUGUCUUUUCCCCUCCAUGUCUCUUUGUAUUCUUUGUCAACAUUAGAUGAUUGUGUGCUGGAGGCACGUUUUGAUAGUGUGAUUUGGCCACCUGAACGUCGUACCUAAAUAAAUCCAAGCUGGAAUCAUGUUUUAAUAGUGUGAUUUGGCCAUCUGAACGUCCUACCUAAAUAAAUCCAAGCUGGAAGCAUGUUUUAAUAGUGUGAUUUGGCCAUCUGAACGUCCUACCUAAAUAAAUCCAAGCUGGAAUCAUGUUUUAAUAGUGUGAUUUGGCCAUCUGAACGUCCUACCUAAAUAAAUCCAAGCUGGAAUCAUGUUUUAAUAGUGUGAUUUGGCCAUCUGAACGUCCUACCUAAAUAAAUCCAAGCUGGAAUCAUGUUUUAAUAGUGUGAUUUGGCCAUCUGAACGUCCUACCUAAAUAAAUCCAAGCUGGAAGCAUGUUUUAAUAGUGUGAUUUGGCCAUCUGAACGUCCUACCUAAAUAAAUCCAAGCUGGAAGCAUGUUUUAAUAGUGUGAUUUGGACACCUGAACGUCCUACCUAAAUAAAUCCAAGCUGGAAGCAUGUUUUAAUAGUGUGAUUUGGCCAUCUGAACGUCCUACCUAAAUAAAUCCAAGCUGGAAGCAUGUUUUAAUAGUGUGAUUUGGCCAUCUGAACGUCGUACCUAAAUAAAUCCAAGCUGGAAUCAUGUUUUAAUAGUGUGAUUUGGCCAUCUGAACGUCCUACCUAAAUAAAUCCAAGCUGGAAGCAUGUUUUAAUUGUGUGAUUUGGACAUCUGAACGUCCUACCUAAAUAAAUCCAAGCUGGAAGCAUGUUUUAAUAGUGUGAUUUGGCCAUCUGAACGUCCUACCUAAAUAAAUCCAAGCUGGAAGCAUGUUUUAAUAGUGUGAUUUGGACACCUAAACAUCCUACCUAAAUAAAUCCAAGCAGGAAGCAUGUUCUGAACGUCCUAGCGAAAUAAAUCCAAGUUUUUAAGUGUGAUUUGGCCAUAUGAAUGUCCUACCUAUAGAUAUGUACGAUGGAGCCAUUAACCACUUAAGGUAGCAUAUUCUGAUAAGGUAGCACGGAUUGAUAGACAAGACCAUAAAUUUACGCUACGGUAGCGCUACGGUAGGAUGUUUUGACAAGGUAGGACGUUUUGUCAGAACACCGGGCCACAGAAAAGGCUCCCAGAAGGCCGCGAGCAAAACCCAUAAGAAGGGGAACAAAAGGCGGCGCAAAAGCAGGAAAGAGCUAUGUUAUUUACUUGUGUAAUGGCACGGCAAGAUAAAAGCCAUUGUUUUACACAUAAGCAG